UAGCUCAGUCGGUAAAGAAUCUGCCUGCAAUGCAGGAGACCCAGGUUCGACUCCUGG
rnacentral:tRNA from 1 species